rnacentral:rRNA from 1 species
UACGUAGGGGGCAAGCGUUGUCCGGAAUCAUUGGGCGUAAAGAGCGUGUAGGCGGUUCAGUAAGUCCGCUCUGAAAGCCCGGGGCUCAACCCCGGGAGGCGGGUGGAUACUGCUGGACUCGAGUCCGGAAGAGGCGAGUGGAAUUCCUGGUGUAGCGGUGAAAUGCGCAGAUAUCAGGAGGAACACCAAUUGCGAAGGCAGCUCGCUGGGACGGUACUGACGCUGAGACGCGAAAGCGUGGGGAGCAAACAGG